rnacentral:rRNA from 1 species
CAUGCAAGUCGAGCGGCAGCGGGACCUUCGGGUUGCCGGCGAGCGGCGGACGGGUGAGAAAUGCCUGGAAUCUGCCUGUUAGUGGGGGAUAACGCGGGGAAACUCGCGCUAAUACCGCAUACGUCCUACGGGAGAAAGUGGGGGACCUUCGGGCCUCACGCUAACAGAUGAGCCUAGGUCGGAUUAGCUAGUUGGUGGGGUAACGGCCCACCAAGGCGACGAUCCGUAACUGGUCUGAGAGGAUGAUCAGUCACACUGGAACUGAGACACGGUCCAGACUCCUACGGGAGGCAGCAGUGGGGAAUAUUGGACAAUGGGCGAAAGCCUGAUCCAGCCAUGCCGCGUGUGUGAAGAAGGUCUUCGGAUUGUAAAGCACUUUAAGCCGGGAGGAAGGGCUGUAGGCGAAUACCCUGCAGUCUUGACGUUACCGGCAGAAUAAGCACCGGCUAACUUCGUGCCAGCAGCCGCGGUAAUACGAAGGGUGCAAGCGUUAAUCGGAAUUACUGGGCGUAAAGCGCGCGUAGGUGGUUUGGUAAGUUGGAUGUGAAAGCCCCGGGCUCAACCUGGGAACUGCAUCCAAAACUGCCUGGCUAGAGUACGGUAGAGGGUGGUGGAAUUUCCUGUGUAGCGGUGAAAUGCGUAGAUAUUGGAAGGAACACCA